UUGUUUCACAACAAUGUGAAUAUACUUGAUGCUGCUGAACUUUACACCUAUCUAAAAAAGGUUAAAAUGGUAAAUUUUAUGCUAAGUGUUUGUUGUUUGUUUGUUUGUUUGACCACAAUGAGAAAGAAAGCAUGGUAGAAACAGAAGGUAUCAGAGGUUCCAAGAUGGCCGGACAGGAACAGCUUCAGUCUGCAGCUCCCAGAGUGACAGACACAGAAGAUGGGUGAUUUCUGCAUUUCCAACUGAGAUAACUGUGAAACAAUCAUCAGGGGAUCUGGCUAACAAUGUGAGAAGCUGCCUAAUUCUGGCUACACCUUCUGACCUCACGCUGGUGUGGACUUGAAGAGGGUGCUCUUGGAUCCAAGAACUUGAGACCAACUCUAACUAUCUUAAUCUAUUUAUUGAGAGUGUAUCAGAGCUUGCAGAACCAACCCAAUGUGUGGGUUUGGGUGUGGACAGCAAACACAGUAGUCCAGAAGGCUGGAAAGCUGGUCUUUCAGCUGGAAUAGGUGGGCUUGGACAUCACCUCUGCAUUGCUGGACUGUGGUAUGGUCUCACAUCACAAGAAGAUUUAAGCCACCUUAUUCACUUAAUAAAGAUUUAAAGAUGAUAAGCCUGUC